rnacentral:lncRNA from 1 species
CAAUAAACAGGGUUCUUCUAUGGUUUCUUUUUCAGUUCCUGCCUGAGCGCUCCUAUGUUGAGGCCUUCGACAAUGGAGCUGACCUGGAAGUGUCUCAGUUGCUUUUGAUCAGGGUGGCCACUCACAGCAACAGAAAACAAAUCAGACUACAAGUCUAUUCCUUUUUUUCCAUUCUCCCCCAGGUUCCAUGUAUCACGGGAAAAAGGCAUUCUCCUGUAUGGCAGCUGCAAUAUUUCCUCAGAAGGAAUUCUACACAAGUCCCUUCUCCAUUGCUACAAUCCUGUGAUGCUCUAUGAUGCUCCCUUCAUUGGUCCUUGUUUUGUUCUAGGGUAACAUUGGCCCAUAGGGCAAUUCACACUUCAUUCUAUUUUUAUAAAUAAAGUUUUAUUAGAAGACGACCA